rnacentral:rRNA from 1 species
GACGAACGCUGGCGGCGUGCUUAACACAUGCAAGUCGAACGGAAAGGCCCUGCUUUUGUGGGUUGCUCGAGUGGCGAACGGGUGAGUAACACGUGAGUAACCUGCCCUUGACUUUGGGAUAACUUCAGGAAACUGGGGCUCAUACCGGAUAUGAGCUCCUGCUGCAUGUUGGGGGUUGGAAAGUUUCGGCGGUUGGGGCUGGACUCGCGGCUUAUCAGCUUGUUGGUGGGGUAGUGGCUUACCAAGGCUUCGACGGAUAGCCGGCCUGAGAGGGUGACCGGCAAAACUGGAACUGAGAAACGGUCAAGACUACGACGGGAGGCAGCAGUAGGGAAUCUGCAGCAAUGGGCGAAAGCCUGACGGAGCAACGCCGCGUGAGUGAUGAAGGGCUUCGGAUCGUAAAACUCGGUUAUUAGGGAAGAACAUAUGUGUAAGUAACUGUGCAAAUCGUGACGGUACAUAAUCAGAAAGACACGGCUAACUACGUG